UUGAAGCCGAGGGGCUCUGCGGAAACGACAGAUCUGCGCCGAUCCGAAACGCUAGCAAACAGCCCGCAUCAUGUCGUCUCCUAACUUCGACGUGGUGAAAUACUGAGCUUAUGCGAGUAAGCCUGUUAGCAGUAGCAAA
rnacentral:ncRNA from 1 species